rnacentral:rRNA from 1 species
CGAGGAUUCCCUUAGUAACUGCGAGUGAACGGGGAAAAGCCCAUCGCUGAAUCCUUCAGCCACUGGCUGCUAGGAAUUGUAGCGUAUAGGUGCGGCUGUCCGUUCGUUUCGUGCACCCAAAGUCCCCUUGAGCGGGGCUAUAGUCCAAAGAAGGUGCUAGACCUGUACGGGUGGCGAGGCGAUCGGUUGGUUGCUCCUUGGAGUCGGGUUGCCUGGGAUCGCAGCCCAAAGUUGGUGGUAGACCUCAUCUAAGGCUAAAUAUGGCCACGAAACCGAUAGCAAACAAGUACCGUGAGGGAAAGUUGCAAAGAACUUUGAAGAGAGAGUUCAAGAGGGCGUGAAACCGUUGAGAUUGAAACGGAUAGAGUUGACGGAACUCAGCUGCAUUCAUCCGAUCGGCCUAGUGGCCCGAUAGCGUUCGCAUCCUCGAUGAGGGCAACGUUAUCGGUAACUACUGGGUAAUUGAUCGGUGUAUUUGCGGCUGGUAUGCGCUGAGAGUUUUGUGAUCGCAUGUUAAAGGGUGUGCAGUGGACCAUUCCUUCCGGGCGUGGAACCCUUCACAUUUUUAGGCAUGUCGAUUAUAAAGUUUUGAACGUGGCGUCUCCGCUAUUGUGCGUCGGCUUAUGCGUGCUAUCGUGAUUAUUUGAUAUUCGCAUGCGAAUGUCUGUAAUUAUCGAUGAUGCGACAAAAGUGUGGGCGCGUUGAGACGUGCAUCUCGGUGUGAACGUUGACCACCUAUCCGA